rnacentral:rRNA from 1 species
UACGUAGGGGGCAAGCGUUGUCCGGAAUCAUUGGGCGUAAAGAGCGUGUAGGCGGCCUGGUAAGUCCGCUGUGAAAGUCCAGGGCUCAACCCUGGAAUGCCGGUGGAAACUGUCAGGCUCGAGUCCGGAAGAGGCGAGUGGAAUCCGUGGUGUAGCGGUGAAAUGCGCAGAUAUCAGGAGGAACACCAAUGGCGAAGGCAGCUCCGCUGGGACGGUACUGACGCUGGAGGUGCGAAAGCGUGGGGAGCAAACAGG